GGAGCUGUAGCUCAGUCUGGUAGAGCGGCAGAUUGCAAUCAGAGCAAUUCAUCUGUAGGCCCCGCGUUCGAACCGCGGCAGUUCCU